rnacentral:rRNA from 1 species
AUUUAAAUUUUAAAUUUUAUUGGGAGAUUAUUUUAUUUAUAUUAUUAAAAUUAAUUUUUAGGUUUUUUAAAAUUUAUUAAUUAAAAAUUUAAUUAAUUGAUAUUUUUAAGUAUUGAAAAAGAUUAAGAAUAAAUUUUAAAUUUAUAAUUUUAUUGAAUUGUACCUUUUGUAUCAGGGUUUUACAAAAUUGAUUAAUUUAUAUUUUAUUUUCUCGAAAUAAAUUGAAUUAAAUAAUUAUAAAAAUUAUUAUGUAAGUAAUAUUUUUAAUAUUUAUUUUGUAAUUAUAUGUUAUUCGAAAUUUAUAUAUCUAGUUUUUUAAUAAAUAAAUUUAAUUUAAAUAAAAUUAUUUUUAAAUAAUAUAUUUUUAUUAUUUAAAAUUAAUUUUAUUAAUAAUUUUAGGGUUAAGCUUAAAGUUAAAUUUUUAAUAAUUAAUUUUGGAUUUUAUUUAAAUAAAAUUAAUAAUUUUUAUUUUUUGUAAUUUGUAAUAAUUAAAAUAUUUAUAAUUGAAUUAUUUUGAAAUUAAAAUUUAUUUUAAAUUUUUAUUAAAAAAUAUUAUUUAAUUAAUUUUUAAUAUUUAUAAUGUAAAAAUUAGUAAUUGAUAAAUUAAUUUAGUUAAAUUUUUUUUUAGGUUAGUUUAAUUAAUUCGGCAAAAAAUAUCUAUUCAUCUGUUUAUUAAAAACAUUGCUUAAUGAUAAUAAUGUUAGGUAAUUUCUGCUCAAUGAAUUAAAAUUUAAAUAGCUGCAGUAUUUUGACUGUACAAAGGUAGCAUAAUCAUUUGGUUUUUUAUUUGAAUCUGGAAUGAAUGGGAAAAUGAAAUAGAAGCUUUUAAAAAUUAAUGUGAUAAAUUUUAUAUUUAAGUAAAAAAUCUUAAAUUUUAUUUAAAGACGAGAAGACCCUAUAGAAUUUUAUAAUUUUUUAUAUUUUAUUUUUUAUAAAAUAAAUAGUUAUUAGGUUGGGGAAAUUUAAAAAUUUGUUUAAUUUUUUAUUUUGAUUUUCAUUAAUUAAUGUAUAAUAGAUUUAAUUUUAUUAAAUUUAAAUUAAAUUACCUUAGGGAUAACAGCGUAAUUAUUUUUGAAAGAUCUUAUUGAUAAAAUAGAUUGCGACCUCGAUGUUGAAUUAAGAUAAAUUAUUAAUGUAGAAGUUAAAAAAUUUAGUCUGUUCGACUAUUAAAAUCUUACAUGAUUUGAGUUUAGAUCGGUGUGAGCCAGAUCGGAUUCUAUCUUAAAUUAAUUAUUUAUAAUUUUUGUACGAAAGGACUUAAUUAUAAUAAAAUUUAUUAUAUUUUGAAUAAAAUUAAAUUUAA